UUGAUCUUUGGAGAGAACCGUAACGAAACUUAGAAUCAAACCAUAAUUCUUCCAGAAUCCUUCUAGAGAAUCGUGAUCCAUUAACUUCAUCAGCUGUUGAAUGAGCUCCAAACACACCACAGGAAACUUGUAGGUGACGUGUCUCUUUCUGCCAAUAUCCAUCUUAAGAGAACCAGAAAACCCCGACCGGAAUCAAGAGGAAGAUAUAAACCCCUAGUAAU
rnacentral:lncRNA from 1 species